ACUGACCUGAAAUGUCCGGAUAAACCUAUAAUUUUGAACCUACAUUCGAAAAACGGGAGUCCGGUGUUUGGGAGCGGAUGCCAGGCCACAAGCUAAUUCCGUCACACAUCAUGUGUGCGGCGGCGGAAGGCUGAAGCUUUCAAUAGGACACCCACCUGGCUUAGGCUAGGUGUCAAAAUAUAGGGGAACGGCUUUUCGGGUUAUAA
rnacentral:other from 1 species